rnacentral:tmRNA from 1 species
UCCCUUUCGCAGGGCGCUCAUAUCGCCUAUAUAGGUCGUGCCGGGCAACCGGCUAUGGCGAUAAACGGUGCGUGGAAUAAGUGUUGUGGACCCGGGGGCAGUACCCGGCGCCUCCACCAA